rnacentral:rRNA from 1 species
GACGAACGCUGGCGGCGUGCUUAACACAUGCAAGUCGAACGGAGCGAAUGAAAGCUUGCUUUUAUGAGCUUAGUGGCAAACGGGUGAGUAACACGUAGACAACCUGCCGAUCAGAUGGGGACAACAUUCCGAAAGGAAUGCUAAUACCGAAUGGCGUGUAGGGGAGGCAUCUUCCCUACAUGAAAGAUGGCCUCUAUAUAUAAGCUAUCACUGAUCGAUGGGUCUGCGUCUGAUUAGCUAGUAGGUAAGGUAACGGCUUACCUAGGCGGCGAUCAGUAGCCGGUCUGAGAGGAUGAACGGCCACAUUGGGACUGAGACACGGCCCAGACCCCUACGGGAGGCAGCAGUGGGGAAUCUUCCGCAAUGGGCGCAAGCCUGACGGAGCAACGCCGCGUGAGUGAAGAAGGUUUUCGGAUGUAAGGCUCUG